rnacentral:rRNA from 1 species
AUUGAACGCUGGCGGCAGGCCUAACACAUGCAAGUCGAGCGGAUGAAGGGAGCUUGCUCCUGGAUUCAGCGGCGGACGGGUGAGUAAUGCCUAGGAAUCUGCCUGGCAGUGGGGGAUAACGUCCGGAAACGGGCGCUAAUACCGCAUACGUCCUGAGGGAGAAAGUGGGGGAUCUUCGGACCUCACGCUAUCAGAUGAGCCUAGGUCGGAUUAGCUAGUUGGUGGGGUAAAGGCCUACCAAGGCGACGAUCCGUAACUGGUCUGAGAGGAUGAUCAGUCACACUGGAACUGAGACACGGUCCAGACUCCUACGGGAGGCAGCAGUGGGGAAUAUUGGACAGUGGGCGAAAGCCUGAUCCAGCCAUGCCGCGUGUGUGAAGAAGGUCUUCGGAUUGUAAAGCACUUUAAGUUGGGAGGAAGGGCAGUAAGUUAAUACCUUGCUGUUUUGACGUUACCAACAGAAUAAGCACCGGCUAACUUCGUG